AAGACUAUACUUUCAGGGAUCAUUUCUAUAGUUUGUUACUAGAGAAGUUUCUCUGACUGUGUAGAGCACCUGAAACCACGAGGAAGAGAUGUAGCAUUCUCUCCUGAGAGUGAAGCCACUCUUAGUGUUGCUUUUUGCAACUGCUGCUUGCCAUUGAUGAUUGUUCUUGAUCCUCUUUGAGGGUAAAGAGGGAGAGAACACAGUAUGAGU